rnacentral:lncRNA from 1 species
UUUUUUUUUGUGGUUUCUGUUUGUUUUAUAUUUCACUUCCAGGAGAAGAUUUGUUGCGGCGGGUUGUAAUUUGCUUUCACAGUUUAUGAUGAUCAGGUAGUAAAAGAUAUUUCAUUUAUUGUUGAUCAAUUAUUAUUGUUACUUAGGAUGCCAAAUUAAUUCAUACUCUCCUAUAAGAAUAUCAUUCAUUCUGAGGGUCAUAAGAAAGAUCUAAUUCAUAUUGGAGUGCCAGUCUAACACGAAACAUUAUUUUUUAUAUGUAUCUUAUUUGAGUUUCGAUCUAACUAUUAUUCCGUCGUAAUAUACAUAUCAAUUAAUAAAUCUAUCAUGUUAUCCGUUAGAAUGUUAGUUUUUUUUAGCCUAAAUAUAUAUGUUUAGGAUGAUUUUUGAAUCAAUAAUUGUAAGACACAUUGAUAAUAUAAAGAAAAAAAAAUGGUCUCAAUAUUAAUUAUUUAGGGACAACACUUGGUGUAUUAAUUAAAAGCAAUAUGGAAGAAUUUACUAAAAUGAAUAGGUUUGGCAAUCAACGAUCAAAUUUUUCAAGAUAUUUACGGAAGAUAAUUACUAAGUCACAUUAACAAUAACUUUCACUUAAUUUAAGAAUAGGCCAGAUUAUAAGAUAUUUGGGAGCUCACGAGUGACUAAAUUGAGUUUGUUGUAAGUUAGCUAGACCUUAUGUAGAUAAUAAACUCUACCACAAAAAAAAAAUAUUCUUAUCUUUUUUACUCUAAAUAUAAAGUAUAGUUCCAACAACAUUCUCACUUUUUAAACUAAGCAUGAUACCUAAUCCUAAAAAUUAUAUACUCUCCACCACUAACAAUUUUAUAAGUAGGUUAAUCACAUUGAGGUCAUGGAUUCAAAUCCCGUCCUAGCAACAUUUUUUAUUUAAAAAAAAAAAAUUUGUACCAAUGAUAUAACACUAGCUAGCAAUCAACGAUCAAAUUUUUCAAGAUAUUUACGGAAGAUAAUUACUAAGUCACAUUAACAAUAACUUUCACUUAAUUUAAGAAUAGGCCAGAUUAUAAGAUAUUUGGGAGCUCACGAGUGACUAAAUUGAGUUUGUUGUAAGUUAGCUAGACCUUAUGUAGAUAAUAAACUCUACCACAAAAAAAAAUAUUCUUAUCUUUUUUACUCUAAAUAUAAAGUAUAGUUCCAACAACAUUCUCACUUUUUAAACUAAGCAUGAUACCUAAUCCUAAAAAUUAUAUACUCUCCACCACUAACAAUUUUAUAAGUAGGUUAAUCACAUUGAGGUCAUGGAUUCAAAUCCCGUCCUAGCAACAUUUUUUAUUUAAAAAAAAAAAUUUGUACCAAUGAUAUAACACUAGCUGGCCUCACUGUUUUAAAUGUCUUAUUCUCCAAAUUGGGCAAGACUUUCCAUUUGGAGGCCAUUCUAACAGAUUCUCUUCUUCACCACCAUGUUCUCAUUCUCCACAACUCAAUUCGCACAAUCAUUUUCAUAUUCAUCAACACACACGUCUCCAUAUAGCUAGUUAGCUCUUCCUAAUAAUUUACCAUUAAUAAUCCUCAUAAGGGAUUAAAUAACGUUGCCAUUAGUUACCACUUCAGAUGAAACAUUCAGUUAUCACAAGAACAACCUGCCGGGUCCAGAUUCGAGAAUGUCUGAAGCAUAUUUUAAGUGUUAAUUAAACUCCAAAACAACUCUUCGGACUUCGAAACUGCACAUAUCAGCUCUUUGUCUUCAUCGACAGAAAUAAAAUAUCAGCAAACGAAAUUCAGCGUAGGACACACCACGCAAUAAUUACAAAAUUGUACAGAUUUUUAUUUGUUUCGAUAACAGCUCCCUCAUAUCACUUCACUACAAAAUUCUGCUGCGGGGCCUACAGUUCUCGUCCAAAAUAAAUCGCCCCACUUGCAUGUGUUCUCUGAGAAAACUCACCUUCCGCGAAGUUUCGUUUCAUAUCCCAUCGGUUUCACGUUCUGGAUAUUUAUUUACUAGACGACAAGUUUCUGAAAGGUUUUCUCUCGUGUGAGGUUUCCUCCAUUGAAAAUUACGUUUCGUUACUCUUUGAAAAGAGGAAUUCGAAAAAUUAAGUUGAGUAAAUUUUAGAUCAUAUGUUGAAUGUUUUUCAUUUACGUGGACAUAAAAUGUUAUAUGUUCAGAGCAUCCUAUAUAUGAUGGGAUACUGUAAAUGAAUAAAAAUACUGAAAUAUGAACAUGUUUUGCUACCGUACGUAGUAAAUCGUGCACGGGUACACUUAAGCCAGCCUUGAGAGUUUUAGCAAUUUUUUCCCCAUGUUUUAACAUAUUUGGGUCUGAACAUACUCAUUUAACGUGAUCUUGGUGGCAUUGAAAUAUAAUCUUGGUGACCUAUUCUGUGCUUGUCAAGUCAGUAUACGUAUUAUCAUAAUCGGUUGAAGCAUACACAUCAUAAGAAAUAAAUAGAAAAGGAACAUGCUCCAGAAGCACCCAUAACUUUUCCUAUAUAGUUAAUAAUGUGCUUUCAAUUUAACAAUUAGUUUGUAGUAGUUUAAAAAUUGUACAUAUAUUUGGUAAAUCUAAUAUAUAGUAUUUUGUUUCAAGACUUUGGAUUUGGAAUGAGACUCUAUGAAAUACAUUAGAGCAAUAGGAUUAAUGCCUAGUAGCUGAGUUUUCACAUAUAUAUCCAAAACUUUUUUAAAACAAGGAUUUGAAUUCAGUGCUGAGUUGUGCAUUUUAUAAUAUCGUGAUUGCUAGUUAAUAGAUAAGAAGUCAUGUAUGUCAAUUGUCAAAAAAUUAUAAAAAUAUUAAUACAACUUAACUCAACACUAGAUCUAAGUUCUUAAAAUAAAUAUAUAACAUCGUCUUUUUGUUUAGGCUACUAAUUCAUAUAUUACAUAUAACAAAUUAUUGCAUCAAACGUCAUUUUCCAAAAAUCAUACCUAAAUUCAAGGUGGUAAAAAUUUUCCUGGUGACAAUUUCUUUUCGAAUAACGAUAGGAAACGUAAAUGUCGACAAAGAGUAGGCAAUAAUGCAAAUGCAUGAGCUGCUUCCGCGAACUUUCGUAUGUUGUUUAUGAACAGAAACUAGUAAACAGACCCAUACGUACAAUUCUGUUUGCAUAUAACAUGUUGCUCGAUUUCAGAUUUGGUGGAUCUAAUUUCUGAUCGGUAUCAGUUUGCAUAUCGUUUUCGGUUUGAUACUAAUUUUGAGUACGACAUCGUGCCUUUUAGUUCAUACAUACAUUGUGUGGUCAAAAAUGAAUUAUUAUUUACAGAAAUUUGAUGAGGCCACAACCAUUUGCCAAAAUGAUGAAAACAAGCUAAAUUAAUUAUUGUAAAAGACUUUGAAAGUGAAAUAUUUACACAGAAACAAAAACAAAUGAUCCGAAUUAAUUGCCUCACCUCAAGGGCAGCGGCCAUUACAAAUCAUGCGUGACCAUCACACAUGAUUCAUGAAGAACGGCCGUUAAUGUCGGUACUAAUUAAUUUAGUCGGUAAAUUCCCUCAUGGGUUGAAAUAAAAAUUUUGAAUUUAGAACUUUGUUCACGUAGAUGAAAAGAGAGAAUUUAACUACUAAUCAUAUGAUGCCUCUAUUUCAUCUAUUUCAGAAUAAUUAUGCUUGUGCCGAAAAAAUUACAGAAAGAUAGCAGAAAAAGUGAAAUUUUUGUGUGUUAGUUUUUAUGCACUUAUCACUACUGGUUAUUCAAAAUGUGUUAUAUUUAUAAAUUUUGAAUUUAUACAAGUUAUAAAAAUAUCUAGAGAUCUACCAGUUUGAAAAUACUUAAAAAUCAAAUGAUUGUUUGGAAGCAGAGAAGGUAAAGCAAAACAAGCAGAUAUGAAAAUUCUUCAAUCUAUUAAACUCAGGUUAAUGAAUUUGUACACAAUGUGGCUUUAUAUGCAAGUAUAUCUAUUGAUCCAAAUAGCAGCUAAUUACGCUUAGCUAGUAACUAAUCCUAACAGUUUCUAACUAGUCUUCAUGUGUGCAAUGAAGUAUGUAACCACCGGGCAGUCCAUGUCAUCAACUGAUAAAACCUCCAGCUGCGGCCGCUUGGAUACUAUGCUGUAAGCACCAUUAUGCUACAAGGAUUCGGUAUGAGUUCAGUUCUUGUUAAGCACUUAAUUAAUGUUUGUUAUAAAAGAGAAAUAAAAAAAAUUAAAAUAAUUCUAAUUAUUAAUUUAAUACUCAACAAAAACUUAGCUCAGCCGUAAAUCUUAAUUCCUCUACCAUAAUACAUGAGAAGAUUAACUUAUAUCUACCCAGAAAUGUGAGAGAAGAUAAUAAUUGAGUCUCCAACAAGGAUUUGAACAAAAAUCUUCACCAAAGUGAGAGCCGGUAAAUGCUCAUUCAGUCUUUAUAUUUUGACUUAAGUGUUUCCUUAGACCUUAUAUUUUGAAAAUUACCUCAAGACACCCUUACUCUUAAAUAUGUUACACUCUUAUUUUUACUGUUUAUUAAAUCUUACAAUAAUACCCUUGCUACAAUAUUUUUUACAUUAAUUUAUUUACCUAUUGAAAAUUUUAAUUAGCAAAUUAUCCAAUAAUUAUUUUUAACAAAUUAACCAAUAAAUAUUAUUGAAAAGAAUUGGUAUCUUUUGUGUUCUUGCAACAAUCUUGCUAAUUAUUAUUUAUAAAUUAAUUAAUACCAUCUAACUUUAAGCAAUGUCUAAUACGUUUAUGACAAUCUUACUAAUAAUUUUUUAUAAACAAAUUAAUUUAUAAAAUUAAUCUUAAAAGUAAAGUAAUAAAAAAAUUUACCCCAAGUUUUAUUUUUACUUUUAAGGCUAAUUUGAUAAAUUAAUAAUUUUUUCUUUUCACAAAUAUACGAAAAAUAUUAUUACAAGGGUAUUAUUAAAAAAAGUAAGGGUAUGAUUAUAAUAUAUUUAACAAAAAUAAUGUCUUGAGGUAUUGUUUAAAAUAUAACAAAUAAAUGAGUACUUAAAUUAAAAUAUAAGAAUUAAAUGAAUAUUUACUUAAUUGAGAGCAUCACCUCAUCACGCGGCCAAAUCCCUGAGUGAACUAAUUACAUACAUAACUAAGAGUCAUUGAUGGAAGUUUUUUAAACAACUUUCAAAUUAAAUAUGUACAUGGCUUUAUUGAGCCGCUUUGUGGAUAACAUUGUAGCCUCCAUGUCCAUUCUAGACUCUUUUUUUGGUGCAAAACUAAUUCAUAUCAAUUAGAUAUCAUCAUAAUUCAUUAAAGCAGUUUUUUAAUCGAUUGAUUUUAUGAUUUUACUUCUGGUUCUUUUCUGUUUGAGAACGUGAAUAAUAUCAACAUAGAAUUUAUUGUGUGUAAAUCAUUACAAUUCUAGUAAAGUCCAUAUGAGAUCCUGUAUCUACAUCCAAACAUAUUUUCAAAAUUAUAAUUUUGAAAUCAUAAAAACUCCUAUGAUGGUGAGAAAAGUAUUUUACCAUCGCGUCAUUUUCCUAGGUGGCGGAUAAGAAAUGCGUAGGUUUGAUUUUGAGUACACAAUUUUGGAGAGUGUCGCCGAAUGAUUGAAAAAGAUACGAAGGCUAGUAAUUAUCAACUUGCAUGUAUGUGUAGGUAAAUGCUGCACGGCUUGCGUGUUCAAAUUCUCCACGGAUGUCCGGUUAGAUUACUGAAUUGACUUCGAGAGUGAUUGAGAUUGACACCUUUUUCACACUCUUCAAUUUGACUGUUAGCCGUACAGUACAGCAUUUGUACUGUGAAUUGAGUGAUUGAUGAUGAUAUAAUGUCAAUUCAGACACUUGCGACAGCAACAAUUUAACCUUUCCACCUCAAAUUUCAUCACUUUACUAUUUUCAAGUUUUGUUUGGGGUGAUAUUGCCUUUCAGCAAUUACAUUUUUUUUUAAUUAAUCACAAGUAUUUUUUAAUGUUAAUGAUAGGGAUGGUAAUAGAUCGAAUCGGGCUCGAGUUUGUUCCAUAACAAUGGAUUCGGUUGGGCUCGAGCUUGCUUUGACUAAAAUAAAGGGUCUGGCCCUCAGUUCGAAGGGAUCAUAAUUUUUUUAAUUUUUUAUUUACACAUUAAAACAACUAAAGUAAUCUUAAAUCGUAUUAUAAGCUUAAACAAAAAUAAUUAUCAUUAUUUAUAAAUUUUGAUGAAACUUAAAAAGUUGAAAGUAAGGACAAUGUAAAUUAUCAAAUGGGAAAAUUUCAGCUUAGCCCCAUCGUGAAGUGACAAUCUUCGAAUUACUUCUUUUACUAUUGAAAACAUCAAGCUACUCUCCAAAACUCGUUAUUUUUAACCAUUGACCGCCGUUUACUCAUAAAAUAUGAAAACACCCUUACCUGAGCAGUAUAUUCUUAACGGCAUUGUGAGGCAUAAAAAAAAAAUUUGAUGUGUGACAAAUCAUUGGAAAAUAAAAAAAAGUAGUUGAUGUAUGACUAGUUAUUGAAAAAUAAAGUGUUGAAAUGACUUAAUUGACCUAAAUAAAUUGAUAAUUUUCCUAAAUUAGACAUGUUAGGUAAACAAAUUACAAGACAUGCCAUUAUAUAUAAAUUACGAUAAUGCCAUCAAGAUCAAAUUUCAAAAUUAAAAGUCAUACCAUCUUCGUCUUUUUCUUUUAUUUUUUUCACAUCCUUACUCCAUCUUUUCCUUUCAUUUGUUUUUUUUUUCCUUAUCCCUACUCCAUCUUUUUCUUCAUUUUUUCCUUUUCUUUCAUGUACAUGACUCUAGGGAUGGCAAGAUCCGGAUCCGGGUUCGGGUCCGGGUUCAGCCUUCCCAGUUUCGAAUCUGGAUAUGAUUUUCUUAUAUUGGAUCUAGAUUUAAACCCAAACUUUUUUCAUCCGAGUUCGGUCCGAGUUUAACCUAGAAAAAAUCUAGGUUUCUAGAUUCCGAAUUUUGAACCCAGAUUAGUGAAUCAACUUAAAAAAAACUUAAAAUAAAAAUAAAUCCAAAUUAUAAUAAAAUAAAAAACAUAUACAAAUUAAAUUUCAAUGGUAUUACAAGAGCCGAGAAAUUACCAUCACUCAAACGAAGAGUAAAUGCAUAUACCGACAUACGAAAUAAACUUUCACUCAGUUACAAAAAACCAUCUGAGAGAGAUCUUUAGAACAUUACAUAUACUUUAACCUGCGCUGCCUUCAUCAAGCUUCAAUGGCACCAAUUCACUUUGAAAUGUUUCAUCUCAAAUGAGAAGGCAUCCAUGGAAACUUUCUCGACCUGUAAAAUGCUAUGCCCGGCUUCUAAAUUCCAGCUGGCGACGCCAAAUGAAAGAAUUAACAAUGCACCUUAUAUUUGAAAGUUUCAAUGACGAAUUGGGGAGUCUGACCCCAGAAGGCCCAAUUAGUUCUGCAUGAAUUCAAAUUUCCGAUGGUUAAAAUAUAUUUGUCAUGCGUUUUAAAUGCUAUAGCUAAUUCAAAACACGUGACAAGAUUUUACUGGAUGAGUAAGUAAACUUUUUUGGCCACUAGAACUUACUUAUCAUGCUCUGAGGACUGUUCCCGUUGAUGAUUGAAGGCCCAUUUUGACCCCAUUCGGAUCGGAGUCUGAGAAAAACAGAAUAUUUAAUUAAUUAAGUGUCAGUUGGGAUUCUUGAUUGAUGGCAAUUGAAUUUGUAUAUCAAGUUAAUAAAUGUGUCAAUAAAACCCUAACAAUGGUGUAAAUAUAUACUCACCGAGUGGUCUGUUGGAUACAAAAAAGCAUGCUCCAAUAACAAAGUAGCAUAGCAGAAGAACAAAUCCUUUCAUGUAAUGAGAAGUUCCAUCCUGAAAAAUUAACAAUAAAAGAGUACUUAAUAUUUCUGAUUGAACUAUGAGCACAAGUUUUACAAAAAAAGAAAAGAAAAGAUUAAUAGUGUAAAUUAAUUACCUGUAGAGCGAAGGCUGUGGCAAUAAUUGCUAGAGCAAGAGAGCCAGUCUCAAGGAGAUUGAAGUUAAGAUCCAUUGUAAUCCACAUAAUCCAAGAAAUAAUCCCGCACAAUGGAACCUGCAAUCAUAUUAAGGCGAUUAAUUAAUAUUAAGAUUUAAUCAUCUGAAUUUUUAUGAGUAAUAAGAAGAUUACUCACUCAGUAAAUACUUACCACAAAUACGCAAUUUGAGUUGCAGAACCCAAUGCAACACCCAGUGAAAUGUCUUGCAUUUCAAUUUUAUAAAUCCAAGCAUAGAUUUAAUCGUAUAUUAAUCCUAACAAUCAAUAAUGCAUAACAGAAUUGAUGAAAAGAUUUUUUUAACAUCCAAUUAAUCAUGUGAAAUAAAAACCAUAAUUAUCAAAGAACAUAUAUAGGGAAUUAAUUAAAUAAAAAUAUAAUUAUUUCAUUGAAUAGGAUUUCAUCCUUAAUCUCAAUAUAAAAAAAUUAGUUAGACAUACUUGAAUUGAGAGCAACAAAAUAAAUAAAACCAGCCAUGAAAAGCCGAAGUGCUGCUGCGGCUACCCUCCAUUCUCUCUGUCUCGCGUCCUCCCUUUUUCUUUCUCCCUGGCAGCUACUCUCUAAUUCCUUUUAUAUUGUAACGCCACCACAAAAUCCUCAAGUCAAAAGGAUUUUCAAACAAGCCAAGCACACCCAACUUUAAGCCCAUGCACGUGAAGCCCAGUUGAAAUUAAUGGUCCAUGCUUUUCCAACUAUUCACGUGAGAUGCACAAGCCAAUUAUUCUCCUUAAACUCUAAUUGGUUUCCUUUUUAAGCUCUCUUUCAUGAAUUGCUUCCACAAAUUAAUUUGAUCUUCAAUACUGUCCAGUUAUUAUUCCUUAUGCAUUUUUCAUCCAUAAUCUCCAAUUAUUUCCCUAAUCAAUAAAAUAACUCAAUUAAUUAAAAGAAAUAAAUAAAAAUAACUAGCAAUUAUAUAAUUAAGGAUAAAAUAUGUAUAUAAAUUAUGCUCAUCAAAUAUCCCCAAACUUAGAUUUUGCUAGUCCUUGAGCAAAACUAAAAUUAAAAACAAAAAUAAAAGAAACGAAACAAAAAGCAAAUCCUAACUAAACCACUUUCGCAGGUAAUUGCGAUUGCAUUUAGCGUAUGCAACAAACCUUUAAACCCCUAGGCGGCCCUAGUGGACGAGUUAUAGUCCCGUGAGGGCUUUAGUGAUGAUACCGACAAACAUCAUUUUUUUUAAAAAAAUAAUAAAAUAAAAUGAAAAGAACAACAAACUUUAAACAAAACAUGAAGAUAGCCUCAAGGAUUACAUAAAUUAUAUAGCUCAAAGAAAAUUUCAAAUAUUGGCAAAGUUCUAACUUUAAUUCAAUAAUCAAUCCCAUCUCUCUUUCGAUUCUUAUAGUGUGUGUGUGAAAUCAAUUUAAUUAAAUCAAUUCCCAAAAUCCUCAAUAUCAACAGCCUUCGUCUCAAACAAAGAAAAGAGUUGGUCAAACUAAUCUUAUCAUCUUGAUCUUCAAUUUUUUUUUUCACAGGCUUUUAUGUGCAUUUUCUUUUGAUAUUUUUUUAGCACAUGCACUUGAUUUUUUUCUUUUUCUCUUCUUUUUCCUUUUCUUUUUUUUUCUUUUUAACCAUAGUUAGGAGCUUUUACUCUAUUCCUUAAGGUAGCCUUCUUCUCAUGGUAGAUUAUCUUCUACAUACUUAUGGUACAUAUGCCCAAAUUACUCAAGGAUAGCUUUACUCUUAAGGGUUAUAGGUAGUUAUUUCUGACUUUGGCAUCUGUGUAUACUAAUUUGUAUUGUGGAGAUAAGAAUCAAGACAAACAAUCAUUUACUCUAUCUAAAAUUCUCAACUUAGGCUGCGUCAAUAUCAAAUUUCAAGUCAAAAUUACGAAAGAAUAUAUAUUAGUACUCAUGGUUUAAAGAAUCUCAAUCAAGAGGAACUAACACAAGAAUCAAGUAUAAACUAAGACAAUAUUCAACCCUUUCUAAAAAUAAUAUUUAUUGUCAAUCAAGUUCUUAUCAUUGGCUUUUCACGUAAAAACAAAAAAACACAAUUUUUUUUGAAUUUUUGAUUUUUUUUUUGGUUUUUUUAACAAACAAAGCACACACUAUUCCCACCCCCAAACUUAUUCGGAACAUUGUCCUCAAUGUUUCAUAAACAAAAGAUAUGCAUGAAAACAAAUGAAAGAAAAAUAAUAACAACAAUAAUAAUAACAUAAAUAAUAAAAAGAAAGUUGGAAAGAACACACUUGGAUGGGCUGGGAAAGCUUAAAAAAGAAUGACAACUAAAAAGAAAACGUUAGAAGAAAUAUCAAUAAUGAAAUAAAAAAAAUCCUACUAACUAACAAAUUAAUGUAAAUAACAAAUCAACCAGGAUCAAUAAGAAUUUGGUGAAAACCAAAGCAAUUAUACAUAAAAUGCCAGAAAACAUAAUUGCCUAAGCACUAGAGCAUUUUAUCUAUAAAAGGAUGAUGGUAAUAAAACUCCUCAAUAUCACACUGCUUUGAUCUCUUCUGUUCCAAGCUUUCCUAAGAGUUAUCUAAAGUAGUAUAAAAAUCUAACAAUUUAAGCACUUUAGGUCUUACCACCUUUUUCAUGUCAGAAUGUGACCAUAUUGCACUACUUUAGGAAGUAACUCCAACUUGAAUGGUUCAAUUUUCUCUUCAGGAAGAAGUGGCUCAAUCAUUUCUUUCCACUUAAUUAGAUCUAUGAUAAAACUCGAAUCAAGUAAAACAUUAACUUCUUCAAUACCACUAUCAACAUCAACAGAGAAAUCAAAGUCAGUUGUGCAUGGUAUUAAUGGAUUGUCACAAUGGUUAGAAAUAAGUGAGUCAUUAAUUGAUGCUUCUAUCAUAUCUACUUCAACAACUUCAUUAUCUUCUUGUGCCUGCUUGGGAACAUUAAAAAUGUUUAAUUCCAUGGUCAUGUUACCAAAAGACAAUUGCAUGUUUCCAGUCCUGCAACUAAUAUGAGCAUCAGUUGUAGCUAAGAAAAGAUGACCAAGAAUAAUUGGGGUGUGUUUCUUAAGAUCCUGUACAUGCUGAGUAUCAAUAACAAUAAAAUCAACAGGAUAAUAAAAUUUGUCAAUCUGUAUCAACACAUCCUCUAUAAUACCACGAUAUAUUUUCAUUGACCUAUCAGCAAGUUGCAAAACAAUGGAAGUUGAUUUUAACUCACCUAGUCCAAGCUGCAUGUAAGCAGAAUAAGGCAAGAGAUUAACACUAGUGCCUAAAUCCAAUAAUGCUUUAUCAAACAAUUGGUUCCCUAUAACACAUGACACAGUAGGAGAACCAAGAUCCUUAAAUUUUGGAGGCAUUUUACAUUGAAGUAAAUUGCUAGUUUGUUCAGUUAAAAAUACCUUUUUGGUGACAUGCAAAUUUCUCUUUUUAGUACAUAAAUCUUUCAAAAACUUGGCAUAGGAAGGAACUUGCUUAAUAGGAUCGAGUAAAAGGAUGUUUAUACUUACCUGCUUGAAGAUUUCCAUAAUCUCACUUGUUAAAGUCCAUUUCUUUACCUUUGUUAACCUUUGAGGAAAAGGAGCCUUGGGAAUGUAAGCUGGCGGGUCACUCUCUUCUGGAUCAUUUGGUGAUGAGUCUUGUAAUGGAACUGGAUAUGAAGAAAUAGGCUCAGAUGUCUUUCUUGUUUGAACCUCCACUUUGUUGUCAAAUAAUUUUCCUCUUCUCAAGGUCAUAAUAGACUUUGCUUCUUCAUGCUGAUGGCUUGAACUCGAUCAAACUUCAUGCACUCCUUUAGGAUUGAGAAUUAGUUGACUUGGAAAUUUUUCUUUUUCUCUCUCAGUUACAGUAGUUGCUAAUUGACCCAAUUGAUGUUCAAGCUUUAGAAUAGCUUGAGUGUUUAACUGAAAAGUUUGUUGGGUUGACUGAAUGAAACUUUGACGUGUAUCAUCUAAAGAAGGUUUUCUUUGUUGAGGUGCAACAAAUUGACACAUAGGCUGUUGGGUAAAAGGAUAUACUUGGUUAGGAGUAGGAGUGGGCAAAAAAACCGUAGUCUUAAAAAAAUCGAACCGAACUGACGGUUUUUUUUAAUUCGGUUCGGUUUUUUUUUUUAAAAAACCGAACGGUACCAUUUAUAAAAAAAACCGAAAUGUCGGUUCGGUAUUCGGUUCAUUUAACUGAACCGAAAAAUCGAACCGAAAAACCGAAUUAUUUUUAAAUUUUAUUAAAUUAAAUAUGUGUUAAUUUUUAACUGAUUGUGUAAGAUAGCUAACAUAAACUUGCAUACACACAAUCAGAGUAUAUAUAUAUGUUAGUGUUACAAUUUCGUAAAUCUUUAUUUGCCAAAAUAAACCCUAAAAUCAAAUAUUCAAAAUCGAAACCAAAUCCAAAUCACCCACCCCAAUCCACUGCAAUCACGGCCGACGCUGCUCACCGGCGCGACAGCUUCUUCUCCACUCGCUAGCCACCGCGCGCCAGCCACUUCUCCGUUCGAGCCACCGCGUGACAGUUUAUGCUUUGCUCGACAGUUUCUGCUUUGUACGACAGCUUCUUCUCUACUCGCCAGCCACUUCUCCGCUCGCCAGCCACUGCGCGACAGCUUCUCUACUAGCCAGCCACCACGCGCCAGCCACUUCUCCACUCGCCAGCCACCGCACUACAGUUUCUGCUUUGCUCGAUAGAUUCUGCUUUGCUCGCUAGCCAGUAGCCACCGUACUCCAAUAGGUAUGUCAAGCCUUGUUUCUUUAAUUUUCUACAGCAGCCAAAUAAAAACAAAUGUCCGGCACUUUUUUUAUUUUUUUAAUUUCAUUUUCCUCCGGUUGUUUUAAUGUCUAUUACUGUGUAGAUAUAAAUUGCAUGAUUUACAAUAUAUAACUGCUAAUUAUGUUUAUAAAAUGGCUACUGAUUGUAUGUUGGACAGUGGCUAUAUUUACUUAUUUAGAUUUUAUUUUGACAUUAUAAUUGUUCUAAUUUUAUAGAAUGGUUGACAAUGUUGGUGAAGUACAAAUUAGUGAUGAAGUGCAACAAGUUAGUAGUGAAGAAGAGGUCAGUGGUAGUAAAAAAAGAAAAAUUGAGUUGAGAUCAUUUGUGUGGAAGCAUUUUUCGAAGCUACCUAGAGGACUUAGAGCUAAGUGUCAUUAUUGCGGAAAAAGUUAUGCAGCCCAUAGUAAUUCUGGAACAAGUGGUUUGUCGACUCAUUUGGAUAGAUGUAAAGUGCGCAAAAAAAAGAAGGCUGCAAAUGAUGCAAAACAACAGACAUUAGUUUGUAAAAAGGGUAAAGGUAAAGAUGAUGGUACUGCUAAGGUUAUACACAUAAGAUUUAAUAGAGAGGCUUGUAGAAUGACACUUGUGAAAAUGAUAAUUAAAGAUAAGUUACCUUUUAGAUUUGUAGAGGCUGAAGGGUUUUUGGAGUUCAUGGAAACUUGUUGUCCGAAAUUUGAGGUACCAUCUCGAAGAACAAUUACAAGGGAUAUUCUUAAAUUGUAUCAAAAUGAAAAGGGGCUGCUGAAAAGUAUUUUGAGUGCAAAUAAACAGAGAGUAUGCAUUACCACCGACACAUGGACUUCAAUUCAAAUGUCAAACUUUAUAGUAGUUACAGCUCACUUUAUUGAUGAAGAGUGGGUUUUGCACAAGAGGAUUCUCACUUUCACACCUAUUUCUAAUCACAAAGGAGAUGGCAUUGGGAAGUUAAUUGAAAAUUGUUUGAUUGAUUGGGGGAUUGAGAAGUUGUUGACAAUUACAGUGGAUAAUGCAAGUGCUAAUACACUUGCAAUAGCUUAUGUGAAGAAGAAGUUGGCAAAUUGGAGUGGAAAUUCGAUGGUUUUGAAUGGUUUAUAUAUGCAUGUGAGGUGUUCGGCGCAUAUAAUCAACUUAAUUGUGCAAGAUGGGUUGUCACAAGUGAGUCAAUCAAUAGCUAGUAUUCGAAAUGCGGUGAAAUAUGUUAGAUCAUCUCUGGCAAGAUUACAAAAGUUCAAAACAUGUGUUGAUAGGGAGAAAAUCUCACGUGGAGGGCUUAUGGUAUUAGACGUGCCGACUCGGUGGAAUUCAACAUAUUUGAUGUUAGAAAAAGCGGUAGCAUUUGAGAAAGCAUUUGAGAGGCUAAAGGAAGAUGAUGGCCAUUAUACAAACUGGUUUGAUGAGGAUGAGAGUGAAAAAAGGAUGGUGGGGCCACCAAUUGAUAAGGAUUGGGAAAAUGCAGAGAGGUUAGUCAAGUGUCUUUCGAUUUUUUAUCAUGUGACUUUAAAAUUCAGCAGCUCUUUAACAGUCACUUCCAAUAAUUUCUUGAAUGAAAUGUGGAAAGUUUAUAUUCAUUUGAAGUCACUUGUUGAUUCUAAUGAUUUUUUAUUAAAUCAAAUGGGUUAUAAGAUGGAGGAAAAAUUUGUCAAGUAUUGGGGUCAUUUUUUUGAAAAGGUUAACAUGUUGUUGAUUGUGGCAAAUGUGCUUGAUCCUCGCUGCAAACUUGACUUUGUUAUAUGGUGUUUUAGUAGCUUGUAUGAUAUUAGAAAGGUUGAUGAAUUGAGAGCUAAUAUUAAAGAGUUGUUGUUGAUAGAGGUGAGAGUAAUCCAAAUAGAGGUGAGAGAUGUAGGGCUGUUCAUGAUGGUGCUAGUAGUAGUAUUGAGUCAUUUGAUCCUUUUACACAAUUUAAAAAGAUGAAAGAAAGUUCAAAUGAUGACAUUAGUGGAAAAAAUGAUGUUGAAAAGUACUUGUCAGAGACUUGUGAGAGUGCUAGUAAUCCCCAGUUUGAUAUUUUGACUUGGUGGAAAUUGAAUAGGCCUCGGUAUCCGAUUUUAUCUCAAAUUGCCAAAGAUGUUUUGGCAAUUCCGGUGUCUACUGUGGCUUCUGAAUCAGCAUUUAGCACAUGAGGGCACAUUCUUGAUCCUUUUAGGAGUUCUUUAACUCAUAAAACAGUCGAGUCAUUAAUAUGCACUCAAAAUUGGCUUCGCUCAACUCUAUUAGUAGAGCGUACAAUACAACCAAGUGAGGAAGAAGCUGAAUUCUAUUAAUUAGUUGAAACAGGUAAUAUUGUAAUUUAUUAUGUUAUUUUUUUCUAUUUCACUUAUAACAUUUUGUAUAUUAGAAUUAAUUAUUUUAAUAUAACUGUUUCAAUUUCUUGAAGAAUUUUUGAGGCCAAUGCAAUCUCAAGAACAACAGCAAGUAGCUGAGGAGUAAAUGACAGUUGAUUGAUGUUGCUUACCAGUAAGUUUUCUUUAUUUUUUUUAAACUAGCAUCUUAUUUAUAUAGAUUGUUUAUUUAAUUAUUUAUUUUUAAAUUUUUUUUUUUAUAGAUCCAAAUAUUGAGUUGGAAAAUGCCUAAAGUUGAUGUUGAUAUUGAUGAAGAUGGGAGAAUGUUGUUGGCGUUUGUUUGCAAUUUUUUUUUUAUUUUGUGUUGUAAGUUGUAAUUGUUGUUAUUUUUAUUUCUCUUUAUAACAUUAUGAUUAUGUUUAUAUAGAUAGAGUAUUGGAGUUUGGUUAUGAAUUUUGAAAUUUUAAUAUUUCAUAUUUUGGGAGUAUCUUAUUAAUAUUUAGUAAAAUAUUAGUAAUAAAAUGUGUUUUGAAUACUUUGUAUUUAUUGUUAAUAUUUGUAAUAAAAUUAGGAUAAAUUAAUUGUUGAAAAAAAUUAUUACAUUCAUGAGGCUCAAUGGGCUAAAAAUUUAAAAAUUCAAAAUAGGCCCAAUAGGCCCAGAACCGAAAAAACCGAACCGAUCCGAAAAGAACCGUUUGAGUUUGGUUCUUAUUGAGUUCGAUUCUUAUUCGGUUCUUUUUAUAAAAUAACCGAUUUAAAUCGGUUCUAUUUAAUUUCGAACCGAACCGAACCGUGCCCACCCCUAGUUAGGAGGGACAAAUUGUUGAUUGGGCAAGCUAAAUUGUUGUCCUCCUUGGUCUGACAAAGGUUGAUUUUGUUUCCAAGAAAAAUUAGGGUGGUUCCUCCAAUUAAGAUUAUAUGUGGGUGAAUAUGGAUUAUUGGAGGUUUUCUCAUAUGAUUGUAAGGCAUGUACCUGCUCAGAAUAAGCCUCUUGAUAGGCUGGUAAUGAUGGACAAUUCUGUGUUGUAUGAGACAAGUUAGAACAAAAAGCACAAACUUUAUUAGCUACACUAGGAUGAUGAUUCAUUGAUUGGUUCAGAGCUAAGGCAUCUACUUUCCUAGAAAGUGUAGCUAAAAUGGAUUUCACAUCAAAAUCAUCCUUAACUUCAUAUAAACCCUUUAUAGAAACUUGAGAUGAUUUUUCCCUUUGAUUUGAAAAAUUUCACUGGUGAGAAUUCUCAGAAAGUGAAUUAAAGAAAUCCCAUGCAGCCCCUUCAUGUAAGUUCAAAAAUCUCCCACCAUUCAAAGAUUUUACCAUAUGACGAUUUGACAUAGUUAAACCAUUAUGAAAGCACUGUAUAAGUGUUCAUUUCUGAAAACCAUGGUGGGGACACUUGAGGAGUAAAUCAUUGAAUCUUUCCCAACACUCAUAAAAUUGCUCACCCUCUCUUUGAUAAAAAUCACUUAUCUCUCUCCUAAGGGCAUUUGUUUUAGACAUAGGGAAAAACUUGGUGAGGAACUUAUUACUCAAUUCAUCCCAUGUAGUAAUAGACCCAGCAUGAAGUGAAUUCAACCAAGCUUUUGCUUUGUCUUUUAAUGAGAAAGGGAACAUACGAAGCCUAAUUGACUCAUCAUUAAAAUUUUGAAAACGGAAUGUAGAGCAUAUGUCAAGAAAUUUCUUAAUGUGCAAAUAUGGAUCCUCUCUCUCUAACUCAUAGAAAGAUGGUAAAAGUUGAAUGACAGAGGGCUUGAGUUCAAAGUGUGUUGCUGUGGUUUGUGGUAACACAAUACAAGUUGGUUGGUUGGUUGGCUACAAGUGGUGAAAAAUAUUCUCUAAGGGAUUUCUCUGCUUGCACUGGUGGAAGUAUUGGCAAUAGUCUAUUUGGGUCAUCCAUCACUUUUAAAGAACUAGCUUGACUAUUAUCAAUUUUCGACUCUCUUUUAACCAAACAAUUUGUUGAAUCACGUUCCCAAACACUCAUAAACUAACUAGACAAGGAAAGAAAAAAAAUAAAAAAUAAAAUAAAAUAAACCAACAAUAAUGAGAAUAAACGAAAUUUAAAAAUAAAAGAAAUCAAACAACCAAACAAUGAAUUUAAAGACAAAUAAUUUUUUUUUUGUGUUUUUUUAUUUAAAAAAAUAAAAAACAACCUAAAUUAUAACUAGUGGAAGAAUCAAAUCAACCUAGAUUAAACUGACUUUCUAGCACAAUCCCCGACAACGGCGCCAAAAAUUUGUUGUAAAAAUUUUAAUAUACUCGCAAGUGAACAAAUCUAGAAAUAGAGUAGUGGUAACGAGGUCGAUCUCACAUGGAUUGUUAUAAAUUGAAAAGUCUAAUUUAAAUCUAAAAUUAAUAUUAAUUCUAACCUAGUUGAGCAAAUUGAGUUUUAAGAGAAAUUAAACUAAUUAAGCUAAGAAAACAAUUAAAGUAAAUGAAAUUUCAAUAAGACAAAAAUUACCAAGGUUUUAGAAUCCACCACUAUUCAACUAGUAAUUAUCUAAUUAUUAAUUAAUCCCCAAUUUUAGAGUGACAACUCGAAAUCAAUCUAUGUCAUCUCAUGAAUAUAACAAUUAAGCCCAAGCAAUUAAAGCUAAUGUAGGUUCUUUUUAUACUUAAUAGUAUGACUUCUAAGAAGCUCAUGUAAACAUAUUGAAUAACAAAGAGUCAAAGUUUCCUAAGCACUCCAUGUAAAUAAUUUAAUGAAAGACAUAGAAUCAAAGAUAAUCAUGUAUAAACUUUAUAAAUCAAACCAUAAAUUUUAUCGAAUAUUAAUCCUAACAAUUAAUAAUGCAUGACAGAAUUGAUGAAAAGAUUUUAAUAACAUCUAAUUAAUCAUGUGAAAUAAAAAUCAUAAUCAUUAAAGAACAUAUAUAGGAAAUUAAAAAGAUAAUUAUUUCAUUGAAUAAUAUUUCAUCCUUAAUCUCAGCAUAAAAAAAUUAGUUAGAUAUACUUGAAUUGGGAGCAACAAAAUAAAUAAAACCAACCAUGAAAAGCCCAAGUGCUGCUGCUGCUGCCGCUACCCUCUAUUCUCUCUGUCUCGCGUCCUCCCUUUUUCUUUCUCCCUGGCGGCUGCUCUCUAAUUCCUUUUAUAUUGUAAUGCCACCACAAAAUCCUCAAGUCAAAAGGAUUUUCAAACAAGCCAAGCACUACCCAACUUUAAGCCCAUGCACGUGAAGCCCACUUGAAAUUAAUGGUCCAUACUUUUCCAACUAUCGACGUGAGAUGCACAAGCCAAUUAUUCUCCUGAAACUCUAAUUUGUUUCCUUUUUAGAGAUGCACAAGCCAAAAUUUGAGAUGCCCAAGCCAAAAUUUGAGAGAGAAAAUUUUGUUUCAGUCUGUGUGUGAGAGAUCAGUAAGGGAGGACACUGUUAUAAAUAGCUUCUAUUAGGUUGAUUGAUGACGAAUCUUCCUCGGAGUUUCGUUUUUUGAUUUUUUGUUAUGCAAGACACGUGCCUCACAUACUGUGCAUCUUGUGUUUUGAGAUCAGUAUGAGAGAUGAAUGUUUUACAAAUUAAUUUGAUUUUUUUUUUCCGAACGGGGUUUUCCAUUCUUGGUAUUAUUCUAGUAAAAUUGUUAAUCUUCUGGGCCAGCUAGUGUUGAAAACUGAGUAUUCUGUAGUAAUCAUUUAGACAAGACAGAUUAGUUAAUUAUUUGUGUAACAUAAGGUAAUGCUGAUAUGGUCUUUCUAUUUAUUAUUUGUGACUGCAGUUGGACAAAAUUAUACAAACUGGCUAGCCAGCUCUCGCAAAUUAAACGUCAUGAAGUUAAAUUUAAUACUUCAACUAAGCAUUAAUGCUGGUUUUGACGCUUUUUUUUUUUUUCAUUUUUAUUGUAAUAUGAUUACGUUUGCGUUAUGAUCUGCAGAAGACAUUUGAUUCUAACUAAAUUUUCGGUAACUAAACGAAAAGAAAUUCAAAAUGAUUUGAAAUGCAAAAGCAAAGAAAGUGAUCGUUAAAAGAUUCUGGUAUCCGUACAUUGACUUAGGUUAGAGACCAAUCUUUGAAGCACUACUACUGGAAGUGAAGUUUUCUCACUCAAUCUGAAACCCGUCAAACUCCUGAAAGUUGACUUAAAAUUCUAAUGUGAUGAAAUAGUCAACUGUAAUUGUUCACUCAAAAGUCAAAAAUAUAAAUCUUAAAAAAAAAAAAAAGCAGACUAAAAGCGUAAAGCAUAAAGGAAUCUGCUGUCUGGUUGCUGAAACAGUUUGGAAAUUGGAACCCUAAUUACUGUUUAUUACCUUAAAAAUAGAGUUAUAAUAAUUUAUUUGAGAGAUGGUUUAGAGUUGUUUCAUUAUAUUUGACAUUCAGAUAUUCAUUGAUCAAAUAUAUAUAUAUAUAUACUUAUAUAGACAUUGGUUUAUCCCAAUAGAAAAUAGAAUAAAAAAAGAAUCCUAUUUUCUCUUUUCAUUUUUUCAAAAUUAAUUUUAUAUUGAAAACAAUUAUUAAUUGCAUAAGGAUUCAUCAUUGAGCUGUUUAUUUAUAUUAUGAUGAUAUAUUGUCUUAUUUAAGUUAUUUGAGAUAUUCAUUAUUUGUUUAACAUAUAUAAUUUGUAAGAGCACAAAUGCACAUAUAUUAGUUUUCAAAAUUUUUUAAGUUAAAAACCAAACAACUUAAUAUUUAUUUUUAGUAAUUCAGACAAAAAAAAAUAUUAUUCAGAUUAAGGCAUUCAAUUAUAUUCAAAAAUUCAGAUUAAUUUAAGUCUCUUCAGUUUUGAGAUUAAAAAAAUAUAAAAAAACCACCUAAACGAAAGACAAAAGUGUCAAGCAUUUAUGUUCAGCACUCAUUAAAUGGCAUGUAUACAAAGAAAAAUCUCACUGCAAUGCAGUAAUGAACGUUGGGUCGAAAAAUCUUCAGCGCACAGCAAACAAAACCAUCCGAGUUUACACCAUUAAAUUUGGAAAUCGACAGAGCAAAUCAUUAUAUACCAAGAAAACACGAAACUCCAUUUUCUAUCUUAAUUAAAGAACCAAAAUAAACUUGGUACCAACCAAAAAAUGUUACACGUAUCUUUGAUAUUAAUUGAUCCUUCUGGUUCUGCGCCUAACCAGCAUUUGCCGUAACGUGGGCUACUUCUCUUCUUAUAAUAACAUGUUGUUUGUAUCAAAAACGGCACCAUCAAAUUUGUACAACCAACCCGUACGGACAACGUAGGAACCUUCCUGGAAACUUCGUUCAGGUAAGUACACAACAUGAAGUAGAUAUGUAUUUGCACCCAAUAUGGGCGAGAUUUACCUCCAUCCCCUGCAAAUAAGUGUAUCUACAAGGAAUGAUGAUGAAUCCCGUUAUAGUCUCGAGCUCAUUUCUUUUAUUAUAAACUCGGAAAGAGUCUUUACCAGCUAAUUAACUAACGGUGUGUCGCCGCACCGUAAAUUGUCAAAAUAAAAAGAUUUCUUCAGCUAAUAUAUCUAAUAUGUUAAAAUAUAAAAAUCUAUCCAACUAAUAUAUCUAAGUGCAAAGAGUUAUGUAACGUGGAUGUUUUUGAGAUACCUUACGAAUCAACAACGAAUGCCUUCUUGUUUUUUUAUUUAUUUAUUUUUCUGAUAUACAUUUUAUUUUGAUGAGAACUUAAUGAGUCGACCUCUUACAUGUCUUACUUUUACUACGACAUACCAGGAGUUAAUUACUUCAUGCAUUGUUUGACACAAAGCAUAUAUACUUGUGUGUGCGUGUGGUUUUUAUUUUUAUUUUUUCUAUUGUUGAAUGGUAUUAAUAUUACAAUGGAGCCUUCGGUAAAAAUGAAAAUAAAAAUAAAAAAUAAAAAAGAUUGUAAUUUAAAAGAAAAUUAUCCACUUGUCCACUUCCGUAUUCAAACUAUUAAGAGAACUAACGGAAUAUUGUAUAAAUAACUUUUUUACCCUCAAAUGUAAAAGACAAUUAUCCACCAACCACCUGUUUUUUUCGCAUUUUUUGAAAAAUACACAAUUCUUAAUUUUUUUGUGCUGAACUCCACUUGAAAUUAUAUUGAUUUGCACCUAUCCACUUCUGUCUUCAAACAAUAUCGUUAUGAAAUGACAAUUUUACCCUUAUGAGGUCAGCAAAGUUCUAACAUUGUUAUAAUAAGAGUGGACUAGUGAAAAAAAAGUUAACUUUAGGUGGAGCGUUGCCAAAAAAAAUAAGAUUUGUAUAUUUUUGAAAAAAAAAAAAACAGGCGGUCAGUAGAUAACUACCCUAAUUGAAAAUAAGUGUGUACGUGUAAGAAUCCUAGUCAGACACUUAUGAAAUUGAUGAAAGAAAUUAGAUGUAGUUGCUUAAGUUCUCUACGGGUUGAGCACGGGGAAGGAAAGAGGGAAGAAGUUUCCCAAUUGUAGUUUUAGUGGAAUGGUCCCUCUAUUAGAUAUAUAUAUGUAUAUAUAAAUGGCAACUGAAACUGAAAUUGUUGGUGACUUUUUUUUGUGGUUUCUGUUUCUUUAUAUUUCACUUCCAGGAGAAGAUUUGUUGUGGUGGGUUGUAAUUUGCUUUCACACUUUGUGAUGAUCAGGUAGUUAGAGAUAUUUCAUUUAUUAUUGAUCAAUUAUUAUUGUUACUUAGGACACCAAAUUAAUUCAUACUCUCCUAUAAGAAUAUCAUUCAUUCUGAGGGUCAUAAGAAAGAUUUAAUUCAUAUUGGAGUGCUUAGGGAUGGCAAUGGGCACCGCCCGCAGCGGGUUUGCUAUUACCAAACCCAAACCCGCACAAAAUUUAAAUUACCAAACCCACCCGCAACCCGCAGCGGGUUUUAAUUUUUUUACAAAAACCCACCCGCAGCGGGUUUUAACAAUUACCAAACCCGCAAUGGUAUCCGGUGGAUUUUUUGCGGGUUUCUGUAU